CGUCCAGACUCCUACGGGAGGCAGCAGUGAGGAAUAUUGGUCAAUGGGCGCGAGCCUGAACCAGCCAAGUCGCGUGAGGGAUGACGGCCCUACGGGUUGUAAACCUCUUUUGUCGGGGAGCAAAUUCCGCCACGUGUGGCGGAGUCGAGAGUACCCGAAGCAAAAGCAUCGGCUAACUCCGUGCCAGCAGCCGCGGUAAUACGGAGGAUGCGAGCGUUAUCCGGAUUUAUUGGGUUUAAAGGGUGCGUAGGCGGAAUAUCAAGUCAGCGGUAAAAAUUCGGGGCUCAACCCCGUCGUGCCGUUGAAACUGAUGUUCUUGAGUGGGCGAGAAGUAUGCGGAAUGCGUGGUGUAGCGGUGAAAUGCAUAGAUAUCACGCAGAACUCCGAUUGCGAAGGCAGCAUACCGGCGCCCAACUGACGCUGAAGCACGAAAGCGUGGGUAUCGAACAGGAUUAGAUACCCCGGUACAA
rnacentral:rRNA from 1 species